rnacentral:rRNA from 1 species
CCCUUAGAUGAUCUGGGCCGCACGCGCGCUACACUGAUGCAUUCAACGAGUCUAAAACCUGCUCUGAUAGGGGUGGGUAAUCUUUUGAAUGUGCAUCGUGAUUGGGAUAGAUGAUUGCAAUUUUUCAUCUUCAACGAGGAAUGCCUAGUAAACGCAAGUCAUCAGCUUGCAUUGAUUACGUCCCUGCCCUUUGUACACACCGCCCGUCGCUCCUACCGAUUGAAUGAUCCGAUGAAUAUCAUGGAUUGAGGAUUAUAGCAGGUUCGCCUGUCUUGAUCUUCGAGAAGUGAAGUAAAUCUUAUCAUUUAGAGGAAGGAGAAGUCGUAACA